rnacentral:rRNA from 1 species
CACACCGCCCGUCACACCAUGGGAGUUGGUUUUACCUGAAGACGGUGCGCUAACCAGCAAUGGAGGCAGCCGGCCACGGUAGGUCAGCGACUGGGGUG